rnacentral:lncRNA from 1 species
GGUGGGACCUCUGGUUUCUAACCAAGAAAAUAUGACAAAGGUGAUGAAAUGUAACUCCUAUGAUUACCUUACAUUGUGAAAGUUUCUGUCUUGUUAACUGACUCACUCUAGAGACUCUCUUUGUUGGCUUAAGGAGGUGAACAGCCAUGUUGGAAAGCCUAUAUGGCAAGGAGAAGCUGCCUCUGGGAGCUGAGAGCACCCUCUAGCCCACAGCCAACAAGAUGCUGAGGGCUUGCCUCUUCCAACCACAAGGAAAUGAAUUCUGCCAACAGCCCAAGCUAGUUUGGAAGUGAACUCUUCCCUGUCAAACCUCCAGAUGAGAACACAGCCCUGUCAACACCUUGACUGCAGCCUUGAGAAGAUCUUAAACAGAAAACCCGACUAAGUGGUGCCUGGAUUCCUGACCUACAGAAACGGUGUGCUCCUGUUUCAGUGUGUCUGCACCUUUUGUCCCCUCUGCCUGAAACACAUCUUCCUGCUCCACAGAACUGCCUCCUUCCCACCCUGCAAGUCUCAGCCAGACGUCUUCAUCUCAGAGAGGCUUCCCUGUCUCCUCUUUCCUUCCCACUCCUGCAACUCUCACCAGCACCGUGCAACAAACAGAACUUUCUGCAGCGAUUGAAAUAUUCUUUAUCUGUAACAUUCAAUGCAGUGGCUACUAUCCAGGAGACUACUGAGCCUCAGAAGGUGGCAAGUGUGACUACAGAACUGUAUGUUUUUAUUUAAUUUUAACGAAUUGAAAAUUAAAAAUAAGUAGCUAAAGAAAUGUAGCUAGUUGCUAUCAUAUUUGGAGAGAUCAGC